rnacentral:rRNA from 1 species
AGUGAACGCUGGCGGUAGGCCUAACGCAUGCAAGUCGAACGGCAGCACAGUAAGAGCUUGCUCUUACGGGUGGCGAGUGGCGGACGGGUGAGGAAUACAUCGGAAUCUACUUUUUCGUGGGGGAUAACGUAGGGAAACUUACGCUAAUACCGCAUACGACCUACGGGUGAAAGCAGGGGAUCUUCGGACCUUGCGCGAUUGAAUGAGCCGAUGUCGGAUUAGCUAGUUGGCGGGGUAAAGGCCCACCAAGGCGACGAUCCGUAUCUGGUCUGAGAGGAUGAUCAGCCACACUGGAACUGAGACACGGUCCAGACUCCUACGGGAGGCAGCAGUGGGGAAUAUUGGACAAUGGGCGCAAGCCUGAUCCAGCCAUACCGCGUGGGUGAAGAAGGCCUUCGGGUUGUAAAGCCCUUUUGUUGGGAAAGAAAAGCAGCAGGUUAAUACCCCGCUGUUCUGACGGUACCCAAAGAAUAAGCACCGGCUAACUUCGUG